CUCCCUCCCCUGUCCUUGUAAUGAACAUCCUGCCUACUAUUCCCCUGCUAGCAGUCUGAAAGGAUGUAACUUUGAGAGAGUAAGGUGAUACUGGGGCCAUCUGAAUUGAACAUGUUACUGAACCCAUUUAAAACCUUCAUAUAAACUUAAGAGUCUGGUAGGCAGUUGUGGGGAUAUACUUGUCUUGUGGCUGCCCAAGAUCACCCUGGAUAUGUUCAAGACCAGCCUUGUAUAAAGAAAAAUACUUUUAACUAUGGCCCAACAUCUUACUGAGAAAUUUCUGUCUUCUAUUCUCAGAUUCUCAGGGCAACUAAUUUCCAUCAUUUCGACAUUCUGUGGUGAUGGGAGUUAUUAGAAGUACUCCAAGAACAUGAAUGAAGAUAUUCUUCAAGAUAAUAAGGGAGAAAGCAACAAAAUAGAAAAUAUAUGAUGCAGAAAGUGAUUAAAGUAACAGCAUGUAGCAGACCUGGACAAACUAAUAUAGAUUUGGUGAAAUAACAGGGCAAGUCUAAGGAGACUGGUCUUCAGAAAGAAAGGGGACUGACACUGGACUAUACUAAAAACAAAUACUGAAAGAAAAUGGAAGUCAAGCGAAAACAUCAUUACAAACAAAAGACUGCACAAGAAAAUAAAUAUAAAGU